GAAGAGGGGACGAGUCCCCAUUUAUGUAAGCCGUUUGUAGCUGUGGAUUGUAAAACUGGGCAGGAUCCUCUGGAGUAAUUCAUAGUGUUUGGACAAGACAAACAUUGUUCUGCUUUAAACAAACCUCCAGAAAGGUCAGCCUGGUUCAUCCCUUUGCUGUGAGUCGCUGAGACUAUCCAGAUGAUGAGAAAAUCAGAUCUUAGCUGAGGGGGCCCAGGCAAGAGGCAGCUGUCUCCUGAGUCCCUUGGACCCAGGGUGAGGGCACCCAGCCCAGUGAGGGUCCUUUGCUCCCGUUGAAAAGGGCUGAUUCUCCCUUCGGAGCCAGGAGACGUGGUAUGUUCAUGUGUGUGUGUGUGUGUGUGUGUGUGUGUGUGUGUGUAUCACAGAUUAUGAAAUUUUGAUACUACCAAGGAUCAUCCAAGUUCUAGAGCAAGGCCAACAUGACCUGUAAUGUGAGUCUUCUUUACUCGGGUAAGGGAUUCAUGGGAAACAAAUGUUCUCAGAUGCAGAAUUGAAUUAGACCUGCUAGCCUCAGGCCCAGACAUGCUUCUGGACACCAAGAAGUCCCUGUUCCUUACCUGCGGAUGCUCUGGCUGGGCGCCUCGAUGUUUCAUUUGGCAAACAUUCCUUGAGUGCCUACAAGGGCCAAAUGGGCUAGGCGUUGGGCACACCGCAGUGAGCAAGAGACGUCACACCCAGUUGUGGGUCUGGGUCCGACCUCUCCUCUCCGUCCCUGAGUUCCCUAAGAAGAGGAACUUCUCACACUUUCACCUGCAGCUGCUCCACCACCAUCGUGGCCACCAGAAGCCCCCUCUACCUCGGCUAAGAUCCAGCAGACCAACUCCCUAGAUCAGCCUGACAGCAGGAGAGGGGACAGCUGUCCAGAGAGGUGAAGUGACCUGCCCACCGUCUUCAUCGGUUCAGGCUGCUGUAAGAGAACACCACCGGCUGGGUGGCUUGAGUGACAACAUGUACUUACUUCUCACGAUUUGGAGGCCAAGGAGUCCCAGACCGAGGUGUUGGGCCAAUCAGGCUCCUGGCUUAGGCUCUCUUCUUGGUCUGUAGAUGACAGCCUCCUUGCUGGGUCCUCACAUGGUCAGGGGAGCGAUCGUGUCACUCAUCAGGGCACUAAUUCCAUCACGAGGGCUCCACUUUCAGGACCUGAUUACCCCGAAUGGCCCUGCCUCCGAAUACUAUGGCACUGGGGAUGAGGGCUUCCAGAUGUGAAUUUGGGAGGUACACACCAUAGCAUCCAUUGUCACAGAGGUGUAGCUAGAGACCCGGGGGGGGGGGGGGUGUAUGUGACUGGAGCUGCCCCGCUGACCACUUAAGGGGCUCCCUCCAAGCAGGGCCAGGAAGCUGGGUGCCCCGAGAGACCCCACAGACCCUAUGCUCAGCCAGAGACUAAGAGGUUGCUCUGUAGGGUAGGUCAUGUCCAUGCAGCCUUGUGUCUACUUUCUGGUGUCGUUCCAGGGGCUGGCAUGGUGGCUACUCCUUCCUUGAUGGCAGCAUCGGUGAGAGACAGGUCCCCUCCUUCCCCUAAUCCUACUUUAUUAUGUUUUAAAAGAUUUUAUUUGUUUAUUUGAGAGACACAGAGAGUGGGAGAGGGAGCGCAAGCAGGAGGGGAGCGGCAGAGGGAAAAGCAGAUGCCCCGCUGAGCAGGGAGCCCCGAGAUCAUGACCUGAGCUGAAGGCAGACACUUCACUGACUGAGCCCCCCAGGUGCCCCCCUACUUCCCUAUAACACCUUGUUAUAGUUGAAUCAUCUGUGUACUUAACUAAUCUGAAUCAGGGGCCUGUGUCCGUUUCCAUCCUGUACCACCUCUUAGAACUGAGCCCCCUAAACUUUCUCCCCGAGUGACACGUAGACCAGGAAUACUGACAUUCGGGGGGGAAUGAGCUCUUCCACAUAGCUGUUUUUUGCAAAAAACAGAAGCUUACUCCCUCAUACAGAGAGACUUUUUAUGCAGUCAUCUGUCACGAAAAACAUUUUGCCAUCAGAAUCACGAUUUUGUGUUUUCCACCUAAGUGAGCGGAACCGAAUAUAGCAGGUUUCCCCCCACAGGUGACCCACCACCUACUUCAAUGACUCAACAGCCGUAGUUAGGAGCUCAGCUCCUGGGCAAUUCUCUCAGCCUCCAACGCCUCAGCUUCCUCACUUGUAAACGGGGAAGGGGGGGGGAGCAAUAGAUGGACAUUCUAGAAGGACUACUCCUAUUCUCUUCAAUUCAGGGGAGCCUUCGGGAAUUUGGGUGGGAUGGCGUCCCUGAGUGGUGCCAGCAGAGAUUCCACCGUCAGCUGUGACGUCACUGAGGAACAACGCCCAGGGCCCUCCCAAUCUGUGGUUCCAGAACAGAGGACGCCUGACCUCAGCUGACAAGCACUUCGAAGGGAAAACCUUUCAGCUUCCCUGUGGACUGGAGUCUCCUCCCCUGAUGGCGCGGCUCCUCUUCUCUUAAAUGCUCAGGACACGAAUGACCUCCUUCUGGACUGGUUCCUAAAUCAUAAAGGGGUUGCAAUCCUGAUUUCCAGGAAAGGGGGCUUGUGACACCUCAACACAAGCAGCAAGCUCUCAGCAAGCGUACGCGCAAGAUGCUCUGCUCAGCAUCACGGGAGGGAAGAAACGGGGAGAGGUGGUCCCCGCUCCCAGGAAGGAGACCCAGAGCGAGACGCCAGGAACGUUUCAGGACCCGAGCGUUAGGGGUCCCUUCUUUGCUCCUUCCACGUACCCCCAAGGUCACCUCUUGAGAGUUGAAGGGGACCCUCCUAACUCCAGCUGCUCUAGGAUUUGCCAGAAGUUGAAAGUCAGCGUCACUGGACUGAAGUCGAGGGUCCUUCUCUUUCCAGAGGCUCCAGAGGAGGAUUGGUUCCUGGUCUCUUGAAGCUUCUGGUGACUUCUGGUGGCUGCUGGUGUUCUUGGCUUGUGGCUGCAUCAUCGUGAUUUCUGCCUGUGUCUCCACAUGGCCUCCUUGCCCUCUAUCCUGUCAGCUCUCCCUCUGCCUCUCUCUCAGAAGGACACUUGGCAUGGCACGUAGGGUGCACCCUGAUGAUCCACAGCGAUCUUCCCAUCUCGUCGUCUCCAACCAAAGACUUUGUUUCGCCAUCUAAGGCCACUUUCGUAGGUUCCAGGGAUGAAGACAUGGAUAUCUUCUUGGUGGAGGGGGAACCGCAUUUUUCCGCCUGCCACGGCUGGUCACCACCCCCAGUGGCCCAUAAUUCUGUGGCCUUUAAUUGCCUGAUUGUCAUGAAUUUGUAGUGCGUUCCUGUUCUGUGUCUGGCAGUGCGUGCAACACUGGGGAUUCAGAGGGAGAAAACACAAUUCCUCCCCGAGAAGCUCGUGGAUUAGUCAGGGCAACACUGUGGUGUUAAGAGCUAUGGGAGGGGAGCUGGGGUGGCUCAGUCAGUUGGGCGUCUACCUUCGGCUUGGGUCAUGGUCUCAGGGUCCUGGGAUCGAGCCUCGCGUCAAGCUCCCUGCUCAGCGGGGAGCCUGCUUCUCCCUCUCCCUCUGCCCCUCACCCCUGCUACUGCUCUCACAUGCUCUCCUCUCUCAAAUAAAUAAUAGAUUAAAAUCUAAAAAAUAAGAGGUAUGGGAAAAGCAACCCCUGGAUGAACCCCGAAAUGUUCAAAUUCCUUAUCAAAGUCUGCAAGACUGUGUGCACCCUCACCUGCACUCAGCUCUCUGACCUCACCUCCUACCACUCCCCAUCUCACUCCCCAAGCCCCCACCAAGCUGGCCUCCUCUCUGGUCCUUAGCGGGUCAAGGCAUGCCUCAGGACUUUUGCACUGGCUGUCUUCCCUGCCAGAAAUGCACGUUUUUCCUCCCUGCCAAGCCCCCAUACCCCCACAGCUCCCUUCCUCGCUUAACUCUGCUCUACUGGAUCCUUCUUAGAGAGGCAACCCCCAACACCCACCCCAGUACCUUGUCUAAAAUGCACCUUCCUUCCUGGCAUGCCCCCUCCCCUCCUCUGCUUUAUUUAUGUUCCUGGCACUUACCACAGUCAAGUGACUGAUCCGGGCCAUCUCCACCUCCACAGGUGUUUUGAGACGUGAUGACUAGAACUUCCCAGAGGAUCCUAGACAUAAAAGCAUCCUGUUUCUUUUCCAAUUCUCUUUCUGAGAAUUCAUUUAGCAGUUUUCUUUGCAUGUUGCAGGUUUGGGGGGAGGUCGGGGAAGGUGCUAAGCGGCACAUCAGGCUAAAUUUCAAGUAGAUCAGAAUGGGGUGGGGAAGUGGAGGCUCUUCUGGGGGGAAUGUAUGAAUGUGAGGAGCCAUUUUUCAGUGGUGAGAAUGUGUGUGUGUGUGUGUGUGUGUACGUGUGUGUGUAGAGGGGUACCUACUGGCAUUUAACGGGGCCGGGGGCAGGGAUGCUAAAUGUCCUGUGGUGGCAUUGGACCAUUCUGCCCAGGGAAGAAUUUUCUGGCCCUAAAUGUGAGCAGCACCUCUUUGGAGAGAUGAUCUUCAGGAAACAGCCUGUAUUCGGGUCUUCGAAUAGCAUUUUUCAGUUGAAACUGAAAACCUGAGGCACCUGGGUGGCUCCGUGGUUGAGCAUCUGCCUUCGGCUCAGGGCGUGAUCCUGGGGUCCUGGGAUCGAAUCCUGCAGGGAGCCUGCUUCUCCCUCUGCCUGUGACUCUCACAAAUAAAUAAAUAAAUCUGAAAGAAAGAAAGACAGACAGAAAGGAAGAAAGAAAGAAAGAAACUGAAAACCUUUAACCCUCUAAUAGUUUUUCAGGCUAUUUGUCCCCAAAUACAUCAUCUUCUGCUAACACUGACUGUGUCCCCAUGUCCCCAGGCCAUGUAUGCUAUCUCUUGAGAUGGUCCCUCUCACCCCCUUUCUCUGGGUGUCACUUCAGUGUCACCUCUGCACUUUGAGGUCUCCCUGAGAGGACGUCCUCCUUCAGGGCGCCUGUCAGCAUUGAAUGAGCUGAACCCCAACUCUGGGCUCAGAACCCCUAUACCCCCCCCCCACUACUUUCUCCACCCAGAGGACCAUCCCUUUUUGUGAACUCUGUUUCCAUCCAUGACAAAACUUCCCCCUCACAGUGAAGCAUUUUCUGUAGUUUAAUAGCGUUCAGGGUGGGACCUUGUCAAAAGGUUUUUGCAAAUGAAAAUAAAUUACAUCGGGUGGCCGGUUCCCCUGAUCCACAAGAAUUUUUCACUCCUCCAAAGAGCUCUGGUAGAUUAAAGGAUUUGGUGGAUUUGGGGUUUGUAUGGGCUUCUGUGCCCAAGUCCUGAAUCCUCUGCCAAGAAGCCGGCAACAAGGGAGGCCCAAGCUAAGGAUGAGGACCAUCCCAACACUGUGGACCUAAGUGGGUAAAUCUCCAGAAACCCUCCACACCCUACAGCCCUGUGCUUCUAUGCUCCGAGUCCUUUCCCCAAACAGCCCCAUCUCCUGAAAUCCUGCCAAGGGAAUGGGAUCACCUUGAGCAAUCCUCCCUGAGGCCUAUCGGGUGAGCUGGCAGUCUGGAAAUGAGGGGAUGCCCCUAAUUCCUCCAGGGUGAGGGACCUGGGAACCAGAUCUGGAAAUUUUGAGAAUAAAACCCCAAAGUAAAAAAAAAAAAAAAAAAAAAAAAAAGACAAAA